GAGGUCAGAGGACGGCCUGCUGGAUGGGACUGCCUUUCAGCUCUGCUCUGGCCCUGGACUACCCCGCCAAGACCAUGAAGAUCUUCUCGGCCUCCCUCCUCCUCCUCGCCGUCCUCAGCACAGCAUUUAUUUUCUACAACCAGCAGAGUGGGUCACCUGUCUCUGUAAUCUGGAGACGAGAAAGGAGACCGGGCAGAUGGCAACGAAGAGAUGCCAAAGGCACUGCCAAGUCUCUGACCACAUUACUCCUGGGGUCCCUUCAAACUCAGCUGCCGUCCUUCAUUUCUCCUUGACUCCUGACUGCUUUGAAGCAGCAGUGCUGAAGACUAGGCCACGCCCCCCCAAGGUCACCUGAUCCUGCUGCCCAAUCAGACGUUCCAGAAAAAAUGGAAAUUCAGAGGCUAGAAAUACUGAAGUUGCUGGACACAUCCCACAGGAAGUCUAGCUGCUUAUCAGUCUUCCUCAUGCUGCAACCCUUUACCACAGUUCCUCAUGUUGUGGUGACCCCCCAACCAUAAAAUUAUGUUAUUGCUACUUCAUAACUGCAAUUUGUAAUUUUGUUAUUGUUAUAAAUCAUAAUGUAAAUAUAUGAUAUGCAGAAUAUCUGACAUGUGGCCCAUAGGAAAGGGUUGUUCAACCCCCGAGUUGAGAACCACUGGCCUAUGGCUUGGCGUUCUGAGCUAUCCUACCUCCUGGCUUUGCUCCAGGCUGGAGAUUCAGCUCAUCUUUAGUUCCAUGAGAUUCCCCCGGCAUCUUGACAAUUAUUCCUCAAAACAAAAUAACGAAAAUCUUAUAAGGCCAUGGUGGCAUUUUUCAUCUCUGGAAUAAUGCUGACUGGUUUAAGUUGGCUUUGCAUGUAUAUUCAAAUACAUAGAAGAUUCUCUAUCUCAAUAAUUUUCACAUGUACAGUUCAAUGCAUCCACAUGUUUGAGUAGCCAUCACUUCUACUCAGAAUCUACUCCCAGAAACGUCUUUCACUUGGAAGCUCUGUACCCAUUAAUUACAAGUCACUAUUCUCGCCUCCCCAGCCUUGGGGACACUCUGCUUUGUGUCAGUGUGAACUUCACUAUUCCAGGAACCAUACAAGUAGAUUUACAUUGUACUUUUCCUUUUAUGACUGUCUUAUGUCUAUAGGGCCCAGCCAUGACAAGCUCAAAAGAGGCCUGAGUUUCAGUUUAUCCUAAGGCAAUACCUAGUUCCAAGAAAGACCACCCAGAAACAGACCAUCCAAGAGAAAAUAGCAAAUGUUCCAAAGCCCAACACACAGCACACACCCAUCCUCUUUUAUGGGGACACCCCUAGACAAAUGUCAGCCAAUCAGGGGUCUUGAACCUUAGAAUUCCCUCACCCCAACCUCUGCUAUUAUAAAAACCCACCCCACCUGAGCUCAAGGCUCUCUUAUAGAGCCAAUGCAUUGGACACACGGAGAGUCUGAGUUCGAAUUUGAAUAAAGGCUCUUUGCUUUUACAUACAGGA